rfam:Canis lupus familiaris chromosome 13, whole genome shotgun sequence.
GCCUGGCUGGCACAGUUGGUAGAGUUUGUGACUCUUGAUCUCGGGAUCGUGAGUUCAAGCCCCACGUUGGGUA